AGAAGUUUUUCAUGGUUAAUUUUGUCAAAUGCUUUUUCAAUGUCAAUAAAUAGUGCCGUGCAAUAUUGUUUUGUUUCCAAUGCCUGUAAAAUUUCAUUGACGAGUCUAUGCAUUUGUUCUAUUGUGGCGUGUUUAUUCCUGAAUCCUAAUUGAUGGUCCGGUAUUAGUUUUUCUUUUUCUAUUGUUGGUUUUAGGCGGUUAUAUAUUAUGUUAUAAACAAUUGAAUUUUAUACUAGAAAUAUACUAUUAACUGUCAUUGAUCAAUUAAUCUGCCGACGAACUUCUAUUUUACUCGCACUUCGUGUUUGUCGCUUCAAAAAGAUAAUCGAGUAAAGCAGAAAAUCAUGUCCAAUUUAUCGUAAAACAGGAAAUAAUGAAUUUCCGAUUUAAUCGUUCCCAACGACAACAUCAUAAUUCCUGCCAAACGAGUACACGAAAAAUUGAACCGUCUCUUGAACUUUUUCCUUGCAACACGCUUUUGAGCCGAAAGACUGUGACCGUAAGUGGACAAUAAGGAUGCCGCGGAUCCUAUUAUGCCGCGUUCACGGUGUAGCAACGCGUGGGCGUUUGCGACGUGCGUGCACGAGUUUCCAGCGCCUUUGUCGACGUGCUCGUUCUGAAAAAGAACCGAAAAGAGCGCAACAACGAGAAGGAAGAGAGGAAAAAACUGAGAUGCGCUCCCCUUCAGUCAGACAGCUGUCUGACCUGAUUCCACGGAAGGGUUUCCGAUCAUGAUGACAAGGUGGGCGAAGGUUCCAAGGAACAAGUCACUGGCCAGAUGCGUUGUGAGAAACGCGACUAUGUUCUAUUUCGGAAGAAAAAAGUAGUCUGGUGUUCGUAGGGGUGAAAAACCUGAGAACCACGCUCCAUGUGGUGUUUUCAAUCUCAGUGGGUUAGUGUGUAUUUAGAUACUUUCAGGAGGGGUUUUAUGGUUUUCAUAUGGGUCCGUGUCACGUAGAAUCCCGUGAUACGUUUGACAAAUGAAGAGUUCGGUGGAAAAGUGAUAGGAGCGAUGAAAUUUAAUUUGUUAUGUAUCUGUAUGUAUAUUUCUAAAUUAUAAAUGGUAAAAUGCGUUACUACAUACCACGAACUUAUACAAAUUUAUAGUGAAAUAUCCAAUUAUAUAUGUCGGAGGUGAAAGGACAUCGGGGCCUUUCUUUUGGAGUGAUUAGGAAAACCUUCAAUACCCUAGCCCGGACUUUUAUUGUAGCUACCCUUAAGCAAUAAAAAUAGGAAAUAGUUGUAAGACGCUAAUUCGAUUAUGUGUACUCAGGGUUUAUGACGAUGUGCUUGGGCUCGAGGUGACAUAAUGAGUCUCCGAACGUAGCCGCGGUCACGGGACGGACAUAUAACAACAGAGGUAUGGAAUAAUUAUGCAGCUCUCCUUAAAAACAAAGAUUGUCGCCAUUACCUGUAACAUCUUGAAAUCAUCGCCCCGGAACUAAUAACGAUCAGCGAGAAUACAUAAUCACGAUGGUCAAUUCGAGCGAAGGUUUAUCAGACGCCCAUACUUCAAAUCCUUCUCCGACAUAUAUUAUGCUUUUCGUUCGUGGAAAAAUGUGUAUUUGAAAACCGAAUUUGAUCUUACGCUUUUAAAUACAACAAUAAAUAAGUAAGGGUAUGGUACAACUGCAAUGAAACUUGGAUGUGUUUACAAGAAUUUCACAGACAAAUAGCAAAUAUGAUGAAACGGACAGAACCCGAGAGCAUAAUACCCGAACCUCAAUUACGGAUGAGAAGUACGAUAAAUAAUAUAAAUCAGCCAUAUUAUUUCCUUACAAUUUUCAGAAUGUUCUGCAAGUUCUCGGUACACGUGCAAUACGUAGAAACAGAUUUCUACAUCCUUUUUCCUCUCGUUUCCACAUUCACGUGGAUAUUCUUCUUAGAAAUACCUAUAGCUUUUAUUCUCACAUCGACCGCACGUUACCUCGUGCAAUAGUCUUACUUGUUGCAGCAACGCAUUAUAACGAGAAUUCAGCAAGGUCGACCGAUAAAAACGAAAUUUUAUUUAGUUGCAAAUAUUUACGUCGAAUUAACGAUCGUAUUAACGAAGAUUAAACGCGAAGAAUUUCCGAGGAAUCGAAGAAACAUAAGGUUAGGAGGAGAACGUCUAGAAAGAAAAAGACAGACACAACCGUGAUUUCACCUGAGUUCUACACGUGACCGACUAUUAAUGACUCACAAUCGGAUAUCCGUAUGAGUGUGCAGGCCCGCAACAAAUCUCCGCAACAUGUUGACUAAUUAAAUUACCACACUCGUACGAGAGAAACAUUUUUACAUUGAAUAAGACAUUUCUCUUCCGAUAUCUCGUGCUAGGCUGAGAUAAAAGCUCAACGAACGUAAGAUAAAACGAAUAAUACGCCAGUGUGCUUGUUGUCGGUUGAAAAUGGAACGCAGUUAACACGGUUUGGAGCAUCGCGAAACGGAGGGUGAUUCAUCCGUGAUUUCUCGCGCGUCGAAAAAGAAAGGAAGCCGUGGUUGGAACUGCUCUUACAGCCGAUGCAACGCGACAUAAUUGUGUUGCUCGAAAAAGAAACCUUUCUCCGCUCUGGAUGCCGCUAAAUGUAAUAAAACUCGGCCUUGCUUCCGCGUUUCGAGAACCGCCUUUCCUCAAUUAAGAUAAUCCCACCUUUUCAAAAGUUUCGGAGAAAAUGUUUUUCUUUCUCGUACAGGAAAUGGAACGGACAUUGUCCACAAAUGAACGACCAUUUUCGUAGACAUACGGUACAAUGGAUCGAAGCAGAGGAUCUUGGUGAGCGAUAACUUUUAUGAUUAACUUUUGUGAGUGAGUAUUCUAUCGACAGGAAACAAAGAACGUGAAGUUGGUUUUACAAGGAACCCGAAGGAUAUACAUCUUUGUAUCGUGUAGACAGUACGUAUAUAUUUAGAGAAAUUUAUUGUAUUUUAUUUACCGUUUUUUUUUCUUUUUACUUGUACUUUUAAUCCUGUUAUGGUUUACGAAGUUUCUUAUGCGCAGCUUAUAUUUAAUCAUAUGCGUGUACCAUUGUAUUUUUAUUUAUUAUUUCUGUUUCUGUGUUCGAAUUCAGUUUCACUUUAUUUAUUAAUUAACAUUCAAAAAUGAACAGACAUCGUUCGAUCGAACCUGCUAAUACGAAUAACCAUAUACCAGCAUCCAAUACACAUUUUGCAGACCGAUAAAAACUCUCAGCACCAGAAACAAUUCACCGUUAUCCCUGCCAGAAACACACAUCGAACGAGGAUAAAGAUGAAAAAGAAAGAAGAAAUAAAACAGAUGUCAGAUCUGUUCGAAAAGAAGAAAGAAACGCACAUCGCUUUCACCCGUGAUUUAUUUACGUUUUACGCAUUACUUUCGCGCGCGACUCGUAUUUUCAUGCAUUACCAUUCACCGAGUGUGCAUCAGGCUGAGAAUGCGUUUAGAAAUGGCAUACUCUACAGCUGACCACGAGUUACUUGCACUUAUUGCAUUUGAAACGAUCGGUGCGCAACAGUCGCGCCAUACAGAUGACAGGUUGUUCAGGUCCAUAAAUCGAGAAAUACAAAAGAUCGACGAUGCUUAUAGAAGCUUUUAAUUUAAUCUUACAUUUACUAAAUUUAACUUUAAUUUAGGAAAUUUGCUAAAAUCUUCAGGUUGUAAGAGGUUUGGGUUAUCAAGGUUCAACUAUAUCUAUAUCAUGUUGUUGCUAUAAAUCAACUUAUGGAAGUCAGUCAUUCGUUUCUUGGGAAUUGGACAUUAACCAUAUACACGUGUACUGAAAUUGAAAAAUUAAGCUUGAUCUUUGGAGAUAAUAUUUCGAUAAUUAGAAAUGAUAGAGUAAAGAGAGAUUCAUUUCGUAUAUCGUUGACUAACUCUGGAAUAAUUUCACUAUUUCAGGCUGAUUGCUGGCUGGUUUAAGACUCUGGUUAAUAAUUACAAGGUGUAAGUACGCGUUGCCAGUUGUGAUUUUCGAGCGGCCAGAACGAGUGCAAACAGACGUGUAUAAUCAUCGAAAUGAUAGUCUACAUCGGUACGAUGCGAUGGCUAUUUUCACUGAAACGCAGACGAAGCGGAACGAUAGGUGUAAAAAUUAUAUAAUCUGACGAAGGAGAAAUCUUUAAAAACACUUGCGUUAAAUAAGAAUUACUUUCACCCCUAUGUGUAAUUUUAAUGUUAUCAUUUGGACGUUGAAGCGGGUAUUAUAGCGAAUAGAUAAAAGCAAUGAUGCACUUAGACAUUAAGUUUAAUUAUAGUAGCACCAUCAUUAUGUAGUGAACUGAGAAUUACAAUGGUGAAAAUUGGGCUACUAAUAUUUUUGACAAAAUAAAUUUCUUAGGAAUAUCAUGGAAAUAUCUGUGUGUGUUUAUCAAGGCAGAGAGAUAUGACACGAAACAAAGCGAAGUUGGAUUUGAAUAUGAAAUCGAAUUGAAGAUUAAAAAUAAUCACCUACGAUACUACAAGGCAAUUUU